GUGCUCGUUUUGGCAUCACAUGUACUAAAAUUGGAAGGAUACAGAGAAGAUUAGCAUGGCCCGUAGCUACAUAAGGAUGACAUGCAAAUUUGUAAACCUUUCUAUAUUUUU